GAAAUGCGAUAAGUAAUGUGAAUUGCAGAAUUCAGUGAAUCAUCGAAUCUUUGAACGCACAUUGCGCCCCUUGGUAUUCCGAGGGGCAUGCCUGUUCGAGCGUCAUUUCACCACUCAAGCCUCGCUUGGUAUUGGGCGCCGCGGUGUUCCGCGCGCCUCAAAGUCUCCGGCUGAGCUGUCCGUCUCUAAGCGUUGUGAUUUCAUUAAUCGCUUCGGAGCGCGGGCGGUCGCGGCCGUUAAAUCUUUCACAAGGUUGACCUCGGAUCAGGUAGGGAUACCCGCUGAACUUAA
rnacentral:misc_RNA from 1 species